CCUACGGGCGGCAGCAGUGGGGAAUAUUGCGCAAUGGGCGAAAGCCUGACGCAGCGACGCCGCGUGAGGGAUGAAGGUCUUCGGAUCGUAAACCUCUGUCAGCAGGGAAGAACGGUCACUGUGCUAAUCAGCAGUGAAUUGACGGUACCUGCAAAGGAAGCACCGGCUAACUCCGUGCCAGCAGCCGCGGUAAUACGGAGGGUGCGAGCGUUAAUCGGAAUUACUGGGCGUAAAGCGCUCGUAGGCGGUAUGUCAAGUCAAGGGUGAAAUCCCCGCGCUCAACGUGGGAACUGCCUUUGAAACUGGCAAACUGGAGUGUGUGAGAGGAUAGGGGAAUUCCAGGUGUAGGAGUGAAAUGCGUAGAUAUCUGGAGGAACAUCAGUGGCGAAGGCGACUAUCUGGCACAUAACUGACGCUGAGGAGCGAAAGCGUGGGUAGCAAACAGGAUUAGAUACCCUAGUAGUC
rnacentral:rRNA from 1 species